AAACUAGUGAGCACGGGUGUCCGAAUAGGCUAUAUGCACACUCACUUCCGCAUUCCAAGUCGGCCAGCCAGGUUACAUCCGGCGUCGACGGCGCACAUAGCGUCAAUAACAACUAUGGCAUUUUUCACUCGGUCCCUUCAAGAUGUCCCAAAGGUAACGGUCAACGACGUGAGUCGAAUCAUACAAAAGUUAUGUCACACUUCGACAACCAAGAAAGAGAAGGGCUUCAAAUUGUAUGUGUCAAGCUACAUCCACAAUUUUGAAGAUUGUGCUUGGGGAUGCCCGUCCUGUGCAGCUACUUUUGGCAAAUCCAGGGCCAGAUGUUGAUUUCUGGUUUAGACUGGUGUGACUUUGUUGUCUACACACAGGAGGACAUGUUUAUUCAGAGGAUUCCCAGAGACAAUGAAAUCACCAAAACAAUGAAAGUAAAAAUUGAUUUUUUUUAUUUUUAUUGUUACCUCUUUGCUUCCCUAAAUAAUUAGAUUCUGAUUGCCUGUCACACUUCUUUAUAGAGUGCUGUUAAUUUCUCUUUUCUCCAUUUCUCUUACUGGCAGUAACUCUUAUUAGUUCAAUCCAUUUCAAAAUAUUUGUACAUAUAUAUUGAUUCAAGUUUUUAUAUUUUUUCUUAAUUGUAUUACUAUGUUUCUUGUUGUAUUAAUACUAAUCUAUUAUUAAAUUACAUGUUACAUGUUCUUCCGAUUAAUUUUUUUGAUAAUUGGUUACCUAAAAAUAUUAUUUUAUAACUGUUGUUUGUAAAUUGGGAGCCCUAAAUAAAUGUUAUUCAGU